UACAGAGGGUGCGAGCGUUAAUCGGAUUUACUGGGCGUAAAGGGCGCGUAGGCGGUUGUGUGAGUGUGAUGUGAAAGCCCCGGGCUUAACCUGGGAAGUGCAUCGCAAACGACAUAACUGGAGUAUAAGAGAGGGUGGCGGAAUUUCCGGUGUAGCGGUGAAAUGCGUAGAGAUCGGAAGGAACGUCAAUGGCGAAGGCAGCCACCUGGCUUAAUACUGACGCUGAGGCGCGAGAGCGUGGGGAUCAAACAGG
rnacentral:rRNA from 1 species